UGUAAAUGUUCAAAAAAAAGAAAAAGAAGUCAGGAAGCCUGACACAUUUUUGUUGAAUCAAUUGACAAAAGAACUGACACCAGAUGGCCAAUCAACUCAAGAGAAAGAUAAUGAGGACAUGUGACAAAUACCAAAUUAACAUGGUGGACAUCAGAAGAGGACAUCUUGGGACAAAGGUCACAGUAGUAAGAAGAAAAGUGUCUAGACUAUGAAAAGUAUUCAAAGAAUAAAGAGGCUUGGUUAAUGGAAGAGGUACAUCAGCCUCCUCAGCAACAGGACAGAAAGGAUGGCUAUGCAGGGUGGUGACCAUGGCAGCUAGAUAGAGACUAUUAUGAAAGAAGGGGAAGGAAACAAGGACUUGGGUUGAGAAAACCAGAUUGACAAGUAAAGAGACAAAGAAAUAUAGGGACAAAUUAAUCAGCAAACAUUGAUAAUGCUUAGCUAAGUAUAAGACCAACAACAGCAAGGAGAAUUUGGCUACAAGAAGUGGGUGAGGCCAGGUGUGGUGGCUCAUGCCUGUAAUUCCAGCACUUUGGGAAGCCAAGGUGGCAGGAUCAAUUAAGCCCAGGGGUUUGAGACCAGUCAGGGCAACAUAGUGAGACUUUUCUUUACAAAAAAAAAAAAAAAAGCUGGGUAUAGGGGCUCAUGCCUGUAGACCCAGCUACUCAAGAGGCUGAGGCAGGAGGAUCUCUUGAGCCCAGGAGUUAGAGGCUGCAAUGAGCUAUGAUUGUACCACCUGCAACCUAGCCUAGACGACAGAGUGAGACCCUGUCUUAAAAAUAAAUAAAUAAAUAAAUAAAUAAAAUAAAAAGAAGUGGGUGGAUAAUUCAUGCCCAGCAUUAAGCUAGGGCUUAUAGGAAAUCCUAAGUCAGUAGAAGACACAGUGACUACCCACUAGACAACAGAAAAUGGCCCUAUCUUGCAGAGCACUGGCCAGCUAUGCCCUAUUGCUAAGUGGCAUGUACUAAGGAAUUGUUGGACUUGCUGUUGUGAAAGAUGAUGUAUUUCUACCAAUUAGAGCCAUAUGAUGAGCUUGUUUGAUUAUAUCACUGCAAAUGCCAAAAUGCAAUGACAUAGAGAAUGGAAGUUCUUGAAUAAAAAGUGGAAGGCUACCAGAGAUUAUUGUAUGACAACCCAGUUCAUAUCAGAAUGUUAAUUCCAUUUAUCAAUGAAAAUUAUAUGUUCUUAAUUUUUCUUAUGUAUUUACAACUGUAGAAAUAUAAAAAUGUAAGGCAGUAGAGUAUGAUGUAAAGAAAUAUCACAAAGUAAUAAUCAGUUUAACACUGUCGAUUAUAGCUUUCUGAUCACAGUUAAUGUAUUUUUCUUUUCUUCUUCUUCUUUUUUUUUUUUUUUUUUGAGAUGUAGUCUUGCUCUGUCGCCCAGGCUGAGGUGCAGUGGUGCGAUCUCGGCUCACUGCAACCUCUGUCUCCCAGGUCCAAGCGAUUCUCCUGCCUCAGCCUCCAGAGUAGUUGGGACUACAGGCACCCACCACCAUACCCGGCUAUUUUUGAAUUUUUAGUAGAGACGGGGUUUCACCGUGUUGGUCAGGCUGAUCUCAAACUCCUCACUUCAGCUGAUCUGCUGCCUCAGCCUCCCAAAGUGCUGGGAUUACAGGCGUGAGUCACAGUGCUUGGCUCCUUUUUCUUUUUUUCUUUUUUUUUUUUUGAGAUAGGGUCUCACUCUGUCACCCAGGCUGCAGUGCAGUGGGGUGAUCAUGGCUCACUGCAGCCUUGACUUUCCAGGUUCACAUGAUCUCACCUGCCUCAGCCUCCUGAGUAUCUAGGACUACAGGCAUACACCACGAAGCCUGGCAAAUUUUUGCUAUUUUUGGGGGUCUUGCUAUGUUGCCUAGGCUGCUCUGGAACUCCUGGGCUCAAGUGAUCCUCCCGUCUUGGCCUCUCAAAGUGCUGAGGUUACAGGCGUGAGCCACAGCGCCUUGCAGUUAAGGUGUUUUGUAAAGCCAUUUUAACUGACCCAUCUCCUUGGAAGGAUCAUGAAUAACCUCAAAGAAUAUGAAAUUCAAGUUUGUUUGAUCAGUAGGAAUGCAUCUUAAAUUGGAAUAAUUUUCAGUUAGUUAUUAAGCUCAUAUAGAAUAGCAAUAAAUCAAAGGAAGGAAAGAGGCAAGAAGCCUGGAAAACUGUGGAAUUAUAAUCCAUCAAGAAGUACAAAAGGAAGAAGAAAUGAUGGUCAACAGAAAAGGGAAGAGAUCUGACAGAACCGUGAUAAUCUAAGCCAUUCCAGGACCUUCACAUCCCUCUGUAUGAUUCCUCUUGGAGGCCCCACUCCACAUGAAAUCAAAUGUAUUAAAUUACAUCUGAAUGCAACAGAAAAUAUGAUUUUAGACUAUAAAUAAUUGAAGACAUUUUAUAAUUGUUAAAUGAUAACUCUAAAUAUUUAAUUUAAUUUAUAAUUGGCCAUGGUUUUUAAACAAUCUUCUUGCACCCUUGCAAACUACUGUGAAGAUCUAACCUACAACUGUUUUCAAAUAUCAGUGUUGCCAGGUGUGAUGGCUUAUGCCUGUAAUCCCAGCACUUUGGGAGGAUAAGGCGGGCAGAUGGCUUAAGCUCAGGGGCUUGAGACCAGCCUGGGCAACAUGGCGAAAGCCUGUCUCU
rnacentral:lncRNA from 10 species